GAUGAACGCUGGCGGCGUGCCUAAUACAUGCAAGUCGAGCGAACAGACGAGGAGCUUGCUCCUCUGACGUUAGCGGCGGACGGGCGAGUAACACGUGGAUAACCUACCUAUAAGACUGGGAUAACUUCGGGAAACCGGAGCUAAUACCGGAUAAUAUAUUGAACCGCAUGGUUCAAUAGUGAAAGACGGUUUUGCUGUCACUUAUAGAUGGAUCCGCGCCGCAUUAGCUAGUUGGUAAGGUAACGGCUUACCAAGGCGACGAUGCGUAGCCGACCUGAGAGGGUGAUCGGCCACACUGGAACUGAGACACGGUCCAGACUCCUACGGGAGGCAGCAGUAGGGAAUCUUCCGCAAUGGGCGAAAGCCUGACGGAGCAACGCCGCGUGAGUGAUGAAGGUCUUCGGAUCGUAAAACUCUGUUAUUAGGGAAGAACAAAUGUGUAAGUAACUAUGCACGUCUUGACGGUACCGAAUCAGAAAGCCACGGCUAACUACGU
rnacentral:rRNA from 1 species